CCCUGCCGGCAGCGAGGCCCUCACCAGCAAGGCUGCCUCUGGGCGUUGGUGGGGGCCUCGGGCCAGGCCUGAGUCCCGGGACCCAGGGAGGGGAGUCCACAGUCAGUCACGGGCCGGGCGCUCGAAUGCCGUUAGAGAGAAAUCCAGUUCCCGUGGGCCCUAGACUUCUCAUGGGACCGCGUUCUUCAGAGCAGACCCCGAGCCAAGGACGCACGGCAAACGAUUUCUUGAGAAGCCAGUGCUCCCGGAGACAGGGAGGCGGGCCGUGGCCGGGGAGCACAGCCCAGCCCCGCCUGAGCCCGAGGGAGCCCCGGGGGAUAACACAGCACAUUUGGCAAAUGCCGUGGAAAUCACAACAGUAACGGGCCCUCAUCCGCCGGGCUAAGGACCAUGACAAGAAAAGAAAAUGAGGGCCGUCCAUGGCGAAGUGAACCCUGGCUCAGUGUGGUCACAGGGCAGGAGGGGUGAGGACAGACGUGGCCGCUGG